CUCGUCAUGAGUCCCAGGGAAGCAUUUCUAACUCUCUUAUGUUUCCAUUUUGUGGAAUUACCACAAAGAGCAUCAGCAAGGAAGAAAGAAAGCCAGCAAGGAAGAGAAAAAGAAAUUGUGCUCCUUAGUCUGCAUUUUGAAUUCCCCAGUAGAAAAUUUUAAUAACAUAAGAAAUAAUAUUGCUUAGAAAAAGCUGCCCCCUCUGAGAGGACACAGCAUCACAGGCAUGUGGUUUGGCCAUCGUCAGUGGAAUCGGUAGAAGGCUCUUCUCGCUCCAGGCAUCGUCGAGCCAAGGCCUGGUGUGGUGAAUCAGCUCCUGCUCCUCGGGAGCUCCAUGUACACCCAUACAUGGCAGCCCUAUGUGAAUGAGACGAAGCAAGAUGUGCGACCAACAGCAAGUAGAGAAAACAGCAAGUGCAAAGGCCCGGAGAUGGGAAUCAAGCCUGGUGGGCUUGGGGAACGUGAAGGCCCCUGGGUUGAAAAACAGUUAUCAAGGGAAAGACUAAUAUAAUAGAAGGCGAGAUCAGAAAGGGGAGCAGGGUCCAGCUCUCACAGUGCCAUGCAGGACAGGACAGGAAACUGGAUUUUAUUCUAAUUGUAUAAGAAACCACUGGAGGGUUUUAUACAUAAUCUGAAUUCUGUUUUUAAAAGAUCAUUUUGGCCACGUUGGUCCAACCAACAUGUAAGAGCUGAGAGUAGAAGCACAGAGACCAGGAGAAGAAAAUUUUAGGAAGCUGUGUGAGGGAUGAGGCGCUUCCAUCAGGGUUGUGAUGGAGAAAGGAGAGGUGCGAGAAAUAGUCUGGAGGUGAGCACCACAGAACUUCUUGAUUUAAAGGGUGUGAAGAGAAGAGGAAUUAAAUAUGAUUCCUUGACUUUCGUCUUGAGCAACUGGAUAGACGGUACUGCCGUGGACUGGAGGUUAGGGAGACUCGGGCUGUGCAGGUUUGGGUAGGCGGGAUCAAGAGGUUUGGGGCAUGUUAGCUUUGAGAUUCUUACUAGACACUCGAGUGGAAAUGGCAGGUAGGCCGUUGGAUAUGUGAGUGUGGAACUUCAGGUCAAGGCUGAAAUUAUAACUUGGGGUCAUUAGCUUACAAAUAUUAUGUAAAACCAUGGGGCUGGAUGAGUUCAUCCAGAGAGAGAAAGUAUGGAGUAGCCAGGACCAAGCCCUGGGUUACUAGAGGUUGGACACAGGAGGAAGAGACGGCAAAGCAGAUUGAGAAGGUAGGGGGAGAAUCUCAUAGGUGGUACUCAAAGCGGUAUGUCGCAGGGGACAGGACUGCCACUACAUAGACUCAAGGUGAUGGCCCUGGUGAUUGCGCUGCCCUUUGGACAAUAAACUAAUUUGCUAAGUGAUAAGCACUGUUUUUUUGCAGCUGUCUAAUCAAUAUUUUGUUGCUUCUCUUUGGCUAACUCAAUAUAAAAUGAUGCAUGGUAAUUGUUUUAAUUUGCACUUGUAAAAUAAACCAAGUACGAGUUUGCUACUUUUCCCUUGUUAUGUGAGCAUCCUGUUAAUAUCGAGGCUGAUUAUUGUUAAUGAUGAUUGUUUAGUUUCAUGUUUGUUUUGUUUAUUUAAAAAAAGACUUUUUUUUUUCUUUCACUUAGGAUUAUUUUUGGCUGUAACAGAAAACGACUGCAGUAAGAAGGGGUGACUUUUGCUUACAAACUAUCUAAAGGCAGACAAUCUAGCAAUUCCUUAAUUCCAUCAAGGAUCCAGACUUAUUCUGUCUUUCUAAUCCAUCAUCUUCAACUAAUAGCUUUUUCCCUCUGUCUUGCCUGAUGGCUGCAAUCCUCUGGGCAUCACAGCUAUAUUCCAGCAGGAGGAAGGACACAAAACAAAAGACCUGUCCUUACUGAAUCUAUUCCUUUUCAUCGCGAAAACAAUAGCUUCCUUUGAAGCUAUGACAGUAGAAGUCUGCUUAUAUCUCAUUGAUCAGAAGUGGCUAAAUAGCCAUGCCAAGUUGCAAGGGAAACUAGAAAGAUGAAUUUUUUUUCCUUUUAUUUGUGUAUCAUUCAUUUAAUCAUAUUUAAACAUUUAGCAGGACUUGAUGCAUCCUGUAUAAAUCAC